rnacentral:tRNA from 1 species
AGGCGAUUAGUUUAGUGGUAGAACAUUUGUCUCCAAAACAAAUAGCGGGGGUCCGAUUCCUCCAUCGCCUG